rnacentral:rRNA from 1 species
AGCGUUUGACAUGGUAGGACGGUUUCCAGAGAUGGAUUCCUUCCCUUACGGGACCUACACACAGGUGCUGCAUGGCUGUCGUCAGCUCGUGUCGUGAGAUGUUGGGUUAAGUCCCGCAACGAGCGCAACCCUCGUCUUUAGUUGCCAUCAUUUAGUUGGGCACUCUAAAGAAACUGCCGGUGAUAAGCCGGAGGAAGGUGGGGAUGACGUCAAGUCCUCAUGGCCCUUACGCGCUGGGCUACACACGUGCUACAAUGGCGGUGACAGAGGGCUGCAAACCCGCGAGGGUGAGCUAAUCUCCAAAAGCCGUCUCAGUUCGGAUUGUUCUCUGCAACUCGAGAGCAUGAAGGCGGAAUCGCUAGUAAUCGCGGAUCAGCACGCCGCGGUGAAUACGUUCCCAGGCC